rnacentral:rRNA from 1 species
CCUCCUUUCUUCAUCCGUUCUGCAUAUUGGUCAAUGGCCGAGAGGCUGAACCAGCCAAGUCGCGUGAGGGAAGACGGCCCUACGGGUUGUAAACCUCUUUUGUCGGGGAGCAAAGCGAGUCACGUGUGACUCAUUUAGAGUACCCGAAGAAAAAGCAUCGGCUAACUCCGUGCCAGCAGCCGCGGUAAUACGGAGGAUGCGAGCGUUAUCCGGAUUUAUUGGGUUGAAAGGGUGCGCAGGCGGAGGUGCAAGUCAGCGGUCAAAUUGCGGGGCUCAACCCCGUAAUGCCGUUGAAACUGCAUCCCUUGAGUGCGCGAGAAGUAUGCGGAAUGCGUGAUGGAGCGGUGAAAUGCAUAGAUAUCACGCAGAACUCCGAUUGCGAAGGCAGCAUACCGGCGCGCAACUGACGCUCAUGCACGAAAGCGUGGGUAUCGAACAGGAUUAGAUACCCGAGUAGUC